rnacentral:lncRNA from 1 species
AAUAACCCUGCAAGCAUUCAAAUAGAUUCAAUGAAUCGGACAGCCCGGUCCUGGUGUACCGUCACGUGGACCAAGAUGGCCAGGAGAGGACCCUGGGUCUGGAGACACCCGGGUGGCAGCGUGGUGGGGACAGAGACAGUCUCCAUGCCUUGGUUAACACCCUCAAUGCCCAGCACCAGGCCAGACUGGACAGCUUCAGGGACAUGGCCAGGGUGGACAUGGCCAGGGUGGACAGCCUCCUCACCCAGUCCUCCCAGACCCAUGCCAGGCUGGCUAAGCUGAUGCCCGCUGCCCUGCUGGAGUCUCGGUUCCGCCAGGCGCCCCGUGGGCAUGGAGCCGUCAGCCUGUUGGCACAGCCGGAGCAGGAGGUACGGGUGGAGAAUGCUCCAGUCUCAGCACGCUAUAUCGUCACCGUGGUGAGUAGAGUGUAGAUAUAUCCCACCUACACUCUGAGAUGUAUAGAUGGGUCAUUCCACCAGUGCCUUUUCAGAUGUGUAACUUGGUAAAAAAUAAAGAAAAACAACAACAUUUGAUUUCACCUAAUUUUAACAUUCUGUCAUAAAGAGAUGCUCAACUUCAUAAAAUCAUAUUUUCCCAUUUCAAAAGGUUAAAUAAAC